AUACUGUGAAACUGCGAAUGGCUCAUUAAAUCAGUUAUAGUUUAUUUGAUGAUACCUUGCUACAUGGAUAACUGUGGUAAUUCUAGAGCUAAUACAUGCAAUUAAGCCCCGACUUCUGGAAGGGGUGUAUUUAUUAGAUAAAAAACCAACGCGGCUCGCCGCUCACUUGGUGAUUCAUAAUAACUUCUCGAAUCGCAUGGCCUUGCGCCGGCGAUGCUUCAUUCAAAUAUCUGCCCUAUCAACUUUCGAUGGUAGGAUAGUGGCCUACCAUGGUUUCAACGGGUAACGGGGAAUAAGGGUUCGAUUCCGGAGAGGGAGCCUGAGAAACGGCUACCACAUCCAAGGAAGGCAGCAGGCGCGCAAAUUACCCAAUCCCGACACGGGGAGGUAGUGACAAUAAAUAACGAUAUAGGGCUCUAUCGGGUCUUAUAAUUGGAAUGAGUACAAUUUAAAUCCCUUAACGAGGAUCAAUUGGAGGGCAAGUCUGGUGCCAGCAGCCA
rnacentral:rRNA from 1 species